CACAAGAAAGUUGCCCUUCUCCGUCCUUCUGGGUUGCGAACUCUGCAAACCUUAUCAUGUUCAUCUCAGCACCUGACAGAGAGACAAGAGAGAAGCCCUUUGCACCAGGUGGGCGUGGAAGAUGGAUUUCCUCAGGUGGCCUGGGAAUGCACGGAGGCUCUGAGGCAGAGGCUGAGUCUCAGAGGAGGAAGAUGAAGAAGGAACCUCCUCUAACUGCUGCCCCAGGUCAGAGCGCAGGUGAGCCCGAGGAAUGCUGAUGUGGGCAUAUGGAUUAAAGCUGCUUGAGAGCCUGUCGCCUAAGAAGACACCCAUUUAAGAGGAGUCUGCCCUUGGAGAGCCAUAUCCCGAAGGCAUCUAUGUGCAAGGCCUGUGUGUAUUGGAGGUAUCUGAGUUGGCCAACAUCAUGCAUGCGUGACAGGUUUCCACGGAACGCCUCCCCUCUACAACUCAGCACCCGACGCCUCCUGUCACAUUGUCUUGCUGAAGGAGCCCUGAAGUGGACCAAUGGUUCCGCAGAACUGUAAAGUCUGGCCCAGCCUUGGCUCUCAAGGAACACUGUUCCAUUCGUCCAAUUGUACAGAAAGGGGCUGUAGCCUGAAGAAAAUCUAGACUUUCCAGGGUCAGGCAUAGGACUCAGUGUUAUGCAUGGUGGCCAUGAGAGGGCAUUCUGAACAUGUAAACACCAUGUCAUCAGAGUGUGUCUUUAGUGUUUUCCUCACGGAUUUCCCCACCCCCGCCCCAGGCAAAGGUGUAGCCCAGAUAGAAGAGGAUGAGGUAGGAGGAGGAGGAUGAAAGGAAUGGGGCCUCUGCUGGGUGGGGCCAGUAUAGUACAUAACUGUGAGACGUAGAAGCACGUGCUGACCUGAUGAGAUCCAAGAAAGGGCUACCCCACCCUAGGCAGGGGGUGUGUCGGGGUUUGAAGUUAAAGGACCCUGCCCUUUCAGAGCUCGAAAGGUAGCUGAGACACAAGUGGAACGCUGGAACCCCUGCUCGGCAUUGUGAGGCUCAAAAUGAGGGAGUAAAACAUGAAGAUUUCCCUUACAAAAUUUGGGGGGGGGGGAGGGUUUGGCCCCUCGGGGGAUGAGCCAAGAGGCAAGGGAAUCUUGUCGGCACGGGGAUUCUGACCAGCCGGUAGCUAGCUGGGAGGUCGACACUGGGAGCCGACGCCAGACCAGGCGUAGAUCGAGGGGCGGCUAGGAG
rnacentral:lncRNA from 1 species